rnacentral:rRNA from 1 species
CCUACGGGAGGCAGCAGUGGGGAAUAUUGGGCAAUGGAGGAAACUCUGACCCAGCGACGCCGCGUGCGGGAUGAAGGCCUUCGGGUUGUAAACCGCUUUCAGUAGGGAAGAAGCGAAAGUGACGGUACCUACAGAAGAAGCACCGGCUAACUAUGUGCCAGCAGCCGCGGUAAUACAUAGGGUGCAAGCGUUGUCCGGAAUUAUUGGGCGUAAAGAGCUCGUAGGUGGUUCGUCACGUCGGAUGUGAAAAUCUGGGGCUCAACCCCAGACCUGCAUUCGAUACGGGCGAUCUAGAGUGUGGUAGGGGAGACUGGAAUUCCUGGUGUAGCGGUGGAAUGCGCAGAUAUCAGGAGGAACACCAAUGGCGAAGGCAGGUCUCUGGGCCAUUACUGACACUGAGGAGCGAAAGCGUGGGGAGCGAACAGGAUUAGAUACCCUGGUAGUCCACGCCGUAAACGGUGGGCACUAGUUGUGGGAACCUUCCACGGUUUCUGCGACGCAGCUACGCAUAGUGCCCGCCGCGGGAGGUACGANCGCAGAUUAAACUACAAUAGAAGUAGACGGCGUGAGACGUGCCGACGACGACGACGAGGGAGUAGG